UCGGGAAUCUUGGACAAUGGGCGCAAGCCUGAUCCAGCCAUGCCGCGUGGAUGAUGAAGGCCUUAGGGUUGUAAAAUCCUUUCGUGGGGGACGAUAAUGACGGUACCCCAAGAAGAAGCUCCGGCUAACUUCGUGCCAGCAGCCGCGGUAAUACGAAGGGGGCUAGCGUUGUUCGGAUUUACUGGGCGUAAAGGGUGCGUAGGCGGAAGGAUAAGUUAGUUGUGAAAGGCCUGGGCUUAACCUAGGAACUGCAAUUAAGACUGUCCAUCUAGAGUUGAGUAGAGGGGAGCGGAAUUUCCGGUGUAGCGGUGAAAUGCGUAGAUAUCGGAAGGAACAUCAGUUGCGAAGGCGGCUCUCUGGACUCAAACUGACGCUGAGGCACGAAAGCGUGGGUAGCGAACAGGAUUAGAUACCCAAGUAGUCCCUGAGCGGGCUGGCAAGGCGCAU
rnacentral:rRNA from 1 species